UGGGGAAUAUUGGGCAAUGGGCGCAAGCCUGAUCCAGCCAUGCCGCGUGGGUGAAGAAGGCCUUCGGGUUGUAAAGCCCUUUUGUCCGGAAAGAAAUCCUGUCGGUUAAUAACCGGCGGGGAUGACGGUACCGGAAGAAUAAGCACCGGCUAACUUCGUGCCAGCAGCCGCGGUAAUACGAAGGGUGCAAGCGUUACUCGGAAUUACUGGGCGUAAAGCGUGCGUAGGUGGUUCGUUAAGUCCGAUGUGAAAGCCCUGGGCUCAACCUGGGAAUGGCAUUGGAUACUGGCGGGCUAGAGUGCGGUAGAGGAUGGCGGAAUUCCCGGUGUAGCAGUGAAAUGCGUAGAGAUCGGGAGGAACAUCUGUGGCGAAGGCGGCCAUCUGGACCAGCACUGACACUGAGGCACGAAAGCGUGGGGAGCAAAC
rnacentral:rRNA from 1 species